AGCAGCCCAGCCGAUCGUGGGCACGUCCCGAUGGUUCAGGAACAUUGCUAGGACCAGCACGGUCAGGCUGGCCAGCGUGAGCACCACUCAGGUCAGCAUCAACCCAGGGGCUUCUCAAAGACCAGGAAGGUGCCCGUCCUGGGCAGGCAGCGGACUCUGGCCUGGCUCAGGUACUGGUUCUUGGAGCACAGAAGACAUUUAUUUCUUCAUGUCUGUGGGAGACAUAGAGUCAUGCCUGCCAUGUGAUGCUUUGUUGACAAAUAAGUGUAACAUAUUUAAAGCGUACGUCAUGAUGAUUUCCCUGCUGGCAGAUCUGGCUGGACCCUGGAACUCGGGCUGCAGGCAGAGGACGGGCCAGUUGAAAGGGACUUCAAGAGAAUCCUCUGAAUGUGGUCCAAGGAUGGGCAUCUACUCUCACUUGGGAAAUCUGAAGGCCAUCAAUGACUGGAGGAGCCGAGAACAAAGGAGAAUGGGGUUUCAAUGGAGGGAGUCACACACCCACUGCUGGCUGGCGUCAGGGGGGCCAGGAUGUCUCUGUGAGCCACCGCGGACACCUGGACACACCUACCUGAAGCUGGCAACUAUGUUAAUAAACAAA